rnacentral:lncRNA from 1 species
AAGAUUGGAAUAGUGCUCGGUAAGCAGGUUUGGAAGAGAUCUGUGAUCAUCGGCUUGUUUUCGGAUCUAAUAAAGCCUCAAGUUCAAUGGAUCGGACUUGGCGUCAGUACGGAUCUAUGAAUCAAUUGAACAUCGUAUGAAUAAUAAACAAAUCCCUAAUUCACAACGAAAACACGAUAGUUACAUGUACAAAUCAAUAGGAUGUGAUGAAAUGUUGAUAUUGAUGGAUUUGGAAA